AGCAGUCGCCGCGGUAAAACGUAGGGUGCAAGCGUUAAUCGGAAUUACUGGGCGUAAAGCGCACGUAGGCGGCUUGGUAAGUUAGAGGUGAAAGCCUGGAGCUCAACUCCAGAAUUGCCUUUAAGACUGCCGAGCUAGCAGGUGAGAGAGGUAAGUGGAAUUCCGAGUGUAGAGGUGAAAUUCGUAGAUAUUCGGAAGAACACCAGUGGCGAAGGCGGCUUACUGGCUCAUACUGGACGCUGAGGUGCGAAAGCGUGGGGAGCAAACAGGAUUAGAUACCCCGGUAGUCCCUGUCUCUUAUAC
rnacentral:rRNA from 1 species